GACGAACGCUGGCGGCGUGCCUAAUACAUGCAAGUAGAACGCUGAAGGAGGAGCUUGCUCUUCUGGAUGAGUUGCGAACGGGUGAGUAACGCGUAGGUAACCUGCCUGGUAGCGGGGGAUAACUAUUGGAAACGAUAGCUAAUACCGCAUAACAGUAGAUGUUGCAUGACAUUUACUUAAAAGGUGCAAUUGCAUCACUACCAGAUGGACCUGCGUUGUAUUAGCUAGUUGGUGGGGUAACGGCUCACCAAGGCGACGAUACAUAGCCGACCUGAGAGGGUGAUCGGCCACACUGGGACUGAGACACGGCCCAGACUCCUACGGGAGGCAGCAGGAGGGAAUCUUCGGCAAUGGACGGAAGUCUGACCGAGCAACGCCGCGUGAGUGAAGAAGGGUUUCGGAUCGUAAAGCUCGGUUGUAAGAGAAGAACGAGUGUGAGAGUGGAAAGUUCACACUGUGACGGUAUCUUACCAGAAAGGGACGGCUAACUACGUG
rnacentral:rRNA from 1 species